GGGGAAUUUUCCGCAAUGGGCGAAAGCCUGAUGGUGCAACGCCGCGUGGAGGAUGAAGGUCUUCGGAUUGUAAACUCCUGUCAUCGGGGAGUAAGACCUGGGCGUGAAUAGCGCACAGGGUUGAUAGUACCCGAAGAGGAAGGGACGGCUAACUUCGUGCCAGCAGCCGCGGUAAUACGAAGGUCCCAAGCGUUGUUCGGAAUCACUGGGCGUAAAGGGAGCGUAGGCUGCGCGGUAAGUCAGAUGUGAAAUCCCGGGGCUCAACCCCGGAACUGCAUCCGAUACUGCCGUGCUUGAGGGUUGGAGAGGUAGCUGGAAUUCUCGGUGUAGCAGUGAAAUGCGUGGAUAUCGAGAGGAACACUCGUGGCGAAGGCGAGCUACUGGACAACAUCUGACGCUGAGGCUCGAAGGCCAGGGGAGCAAAAGGGAUUAGAUACCCCAGUAGUC
rnacentral:rRNA from 1 species